AUCGAACGCUGGCGGCAGGCCUAACACAUGCAAGUCGAGCGAGCGGCGGACGGGUGAGUAAUGUAUGGGGACUGCCCGAUAGAGGGGGAUAACUACUGGAAACGGUGGCUAAUACCGCAUACUAUCGGAUAACCCAUAUGGGAUUAGCUAGUAGGUGGGGUAAAGGCUCACCUAGGCGACGAUCUCUAGCUGGUCUGAGAGGAUGAUCAGCCACACUGGGACUGGGGCGCGACCCAGACUCCGACGGAGGGAGCAGUGAGUGAUAUUGCACAAUGGGCGCAAGCCUGAUGCAGCCAUGCCGCGUGUAUGAAGAAGGCCUUAGGGUUGUAAAGUACUUUCAGCAGGGAGGCGUUGCCCGCAGAGGAAGCACCGGCUAACUCCGUGCCAGCCGCCGCGGUAAUUC
rnacentral:rRNA from 1 species